UAGCAGGGAAGAAGCGAAAGUGACGGUACCUGCAGAAAAAGCGCCGGCUAAUUACGUGCCAGCAGCCGCGGUAAUACGUAGGGCGCAAGCGUUAUCCGGAAUUAUUGGGCGUAAAGAGCUCGUAGGCGGUUUGUCGCGUCUGCUGUGAAAUCCGGAGGCUCAACCUCCGGCCUGCAGUGGGUACGGGCAGACUAGAGUGCGGUAGGGGAGAUUGGAAUUCCUGGUGUAGCGGUGGAAUGCGCAGAUAUCAGGAGGAACACCGAUGGCGAAGGCAGAUCUCUGGGCCGUAACUGACGCUGAGGAGCGAAAGGGUGGGGAGCAAACAGGCUUAGAUACCCUGGUAGUCCACCCCGUAAACGUUGGGAACUAGUUGUGGGGUCCAUUCCACGGAUUCCGUGACGCAGCUAACGCAUUAAGUUCCCCGCCUGGGGAGUACGGCCGCAAGGCUAAAACUCAAAGGAAUUGACGGGGACCCGCACAAGCGGCGGAGCAUGCGGAUUAAUUCGAUGCAACGCGAAGAACCUUACCAAGGCUUGACAUAUACGAGAACGGGCCAGAAAUGGUCAACUCUUUGGACACUCGUAAACAGGUGGUGCAUGGUUGUCGUCAGCUCGUGUCGUGAGAUGUUGGGUUAAGUCCCGCAACGAGCGCAACCCUCGUUCUAUGUUGCCAGCACGUAAUGGUGGGAACUCAUGGGAUACUGCCGGGGUCAACUCGGAGGAAGGUGGGGAUGACGUCAAAUCAUCAUGCCCCUUAUGUCUUGGGCUUCACGCAUGCUACAAUGGCCGGUACAAAGGGCUGCAAUACCGCGAGGUGGAGCGAAUCCCAAAAAGCCGGUCCCAGUUCGGAUUGAGGUCUGCAACUCGACCUCAUGAAGUCGGAGUCGCUAGUAAUCGCAGAUCAGCAACGCUGCGGUGAAUACGUUCCCGGGUCUUGUACACACCGCCCGUCAAGUCAUGAAAGUCGGUAACACCUGAAGCCGGUGGCCU
rnacentral:rRNA from 1 species